rnacentral:rRNA from 1 species
UACGUAGGGUGCAAGCGUUGUCCGGAAUUAUUGGGCGUAAAGAGCUCGUAGGCGGUUUGUCGCGUCUGCUGUGAAAUCUGGGGGCUCAACCCCGGACUUGCAGUGGGUACGGGCAGACUAGAGUGUGGUAGGGGAGACUGGAAUUCCUGGUGUAGCGGUGGAAUGCGCAGAUAUCAGGAGGAACACCGAUGGCGAAGGCAGGUCUCUGGGCCACUACUGACGCUGAGAAGCGAAAGCAUGGGGAGCGAACAGG